UACGUAGGGUGCAAGCGUUGUCCGGAAUUAUUGGGCGUAAAGAGCUCGUAGGCGGUUUGUCGCGUCGAAUGUGAAAUCCCGGGCGUCACCCACGGGUCUGCAUUCGAUACGGGCAGACUAGAGUUCGGUAGGGGAGUCUGGAAUUCCUGGUGUAGCGGUGAAAUGCGCAGAUAUCAGGAGGAACACCGGUGGCGAAGGCGGGACUCUGGGCCGAUACUGACGCUGAGGAGCGAAAGCGUGGGGAGCAAACAGG
rnacentral:rRNA from 1 species